GAUGAACGCUGGCGGCGUGCCUAAUACAUGCAAGUCGAGCGAACAGACGAGGAGCUUGCUCCUCCGACGUUAGCGGCGGACGGGUGAGUAACACGUGGAUAACCUACCUAUAAGACUGGGAUAACUUCGGGAAACCGGAGCUAAUACCGGAUAAUAUAUCGAACCGCAUGGUUCGAUAGUGAAAGAUGGCUUUGCUGUCACUUAUAGAUGGAUCCGCGCCGCAUUAGCUAGUUGGUAAGGUAACGGCUUACCAAGGCAACGAUGCGUAGCCGACCUGAGAGGGUGAUCGGCCACACUGGAACUGAGACACGGUCCAGACUCCUACGGGAGGCAGCAGUAGGGAAUCUUCCGCAAUGGGCGAAAGCCUGACGGAGCAACGCCGCGUGAGUGAUGAAGGUCUUCGGAUCGUAAAACUCUGUUAUUAGGGAAGAACAAAUGUGUAAGUAACUGUGCACGUCUUGACGGUACCUAAUCAGAAAGCCACGGCUAACUACGUG
rnacentral:rRNA from 1 species